rnacentral:lncRNA from 1 species
UCAAGCCUCUCCUCGAGAAGGUCCCUCAUAGGGGUUCCUUCCCCUUCAGAACAGAAGACCAGGGGGACCUCCGCAGAAGCGGUCACCAUAGUCAAACCUGUCAGAGGAAAACAGGAGCUUGUGGGACCUGGACCCAGCCACCAAGAGCCCACCCCGAAGGCCCUGUGGAUCCUGCUCCCUGAGAGGGACCCGACACCCAACCUAUCUUCAGAUGGGAUCUGAGCCCCUUGUAUGUUCUAUGGACUUUCAGCAUCAGCAUUGCCUGGGGACUUGUUAGAAAUGCAGAAUCCUGGGCCCCAUCCCAAGCCUACUGAUUCAAAAUCUCUCUGGGAGGCACAGGACUGUUUCCCCAAGUCCUCCAGGAAAUACUUAUGCACACUGAAAUCUGAGAAGCUCUGCACUACUCCAUGCCUGGACACCAGGUACAUGCCAGCCUUCAGGUCCCAGGUUUGCUGCAUCUCCCACCCCCUGGCAGAGCCCCUAGAGACCCCUAGAGUCUCACCCUAGCUCCUCCCCAGUCCGGAUGUCUCGGGAACUGAAGAAGGCGAUGCGUGGAAAUCGCAGGUCUUGGUGCAGCAUGAAGACCCGGACGGGAAUGAUGUUGGGGUCACACAGGUGGUUGAUGAAGCGGCUGAUGUUGCCAUAGUAACGGGCAUCAAUGCAGUACACCUCUCCAUCCUGGGGCAGGGGGAUGGCACUCUUCACAUCUCCCCCAACCCUGCUUGCCCUCCCCACCCACUGACUCCCCAGUCCCUCCUCCCCAGGUUUCCAUUUGCUGACUUCCCAGAGGCUCCUGAAAGCCAGCCCUGGGGAGCAGCAGGGUAAGGAGGGUCUCCUGCUCACCUUGUUGUCUAAGUCGAAGAGGUAAGAAUCAUCCUCUCUCACAUCAGCCUCAGCAUCAGAGAUCAGCUCCCCGACAUAUCUGUGGGACAGGAAUCCAUGGUUCUGAAGGUGAGUGUGGGCUAUUAGGAGGUGGCUCCAGGCCCCAUCUCUCUUCACAAGCCCGUGGAAUCUGGAAUGGGCAGGGCUGGCAGGUGUGGGGAAGGGAAGGCCUGGAGCAGCAGUGGUGGGCAAGUGAAAGGGCAGUAUUCCAGCCUUGACAGAGGAAGCCCUCAGUCAGCACAGAGACAGACAACAAGCUCUGUGGUUAAGGGGAUUAAUGUGUAGGGGCAGUUGGCCUGGGUGGGGAAGUUCGGGUUUGGACACAGAGAGGUUUGUGUACCAGGAGCCACCCGGCAGGAAUGGGCGAUAUGGAACAGGAGAGGGGCCAGGACUGCAGGAAGAGCCAGAGGUACAGGAGUGGCAAGGAACUCAAGGCAUGAUUCGGGGCAAGAGCACCCACACAUAUCUGGACACCAGAGGGAGGAGAGGAGCCAGCUAUCUAAGGAGGGUGAGCAGACACGGGAGAUUCAGACACACGGAGAGGACGUGGGUGGGAAGUGACUGUCAAGAGACAGCUUCAGCAGAGUGGGAAGGGCAAAGGCCGAUUUUGGCAGGGACAGGCAGUGAGUGGAUGGUGGGGAAACUGAGGCCCAGCAGGAAGGGGCUGCUUGCCAGAGAAGUUGAGAGAUGACAUGAUGGAAAGAAACUGGAUGGUCUGUUGAACAGGCAAGUAUGGUUAGAGGACUAUCUUUUUUAAAUGCCAAAGAAUGGUCAGGCACGGUGGCUCACGCCUGUAAUCCCAGCACUUUGGGAGGCCGAGGUGGGCGGAUCAUCUGAGGUCAGGAGUUCGAGACCAGCCUGGCUAACAUGGUGAAACUCCGUUUCUACUAAAAAUACAAAAAAUUAGCCGGGUGUGGUGGUGUGCGCCUGUAAUCCCAGCUACUUGGGAGGCUGAGGCAGGAGAAUCGCUUGAACCUGGGAGGUGGAGACUGCAGUGAGCCAAGAUUGUGCCAUUGCACUCCAGCUUGGGCAACAAGAGUGAAACUCCGUCUCAAAAAAUAAAUUAAAAAAAAAAAAAAUUAAGGGCCAAAGGAGACCAAAGUAAUAAUGAGGGUUGUGGGAUGGCAGCCAAGAGAAAGGGGGAGAUUACAGAUGCUGGGCAGAGAAAGAACUGAUGGAGAGGGACAGGCCCCUGAGGAGGUGGACAGAUAGGUAGCUGUUAUCACCUCCACUCUACAGACAAGAAAAAUAAGGCUCAAAGAGGUUAAGUAACUUGGCCAAGAACAUCCAGAAGCAGAGAGGGGCUCAAACCCAAGUCUGUUUGUCUCCCAAACUGGCACUUUCUCCAGCUAGGAAGGGCGAGGAGGGGGUGGAGGGGAAGGUAGAGGGUGGAGGUGGAGGGGAGGGAAGACAAGCUCUGUGGUCUGGGCAGAGUGGAGGCAGGUGCCAUUCUCAGCUGGGGGGAUGGGGGUCAGAGGAGGCUGGCUGCUCAGCUGCAGGAAUAGGGGUCAGAGGAGGCUGGCUGGAGAGUGGCCAGAUGGAGACAUGUGACUCAUCAGGGCAGACGGCUGAGAGGGAGGCCUGGCAGUCAGCAGUGGCCAUGUAUCCCCUUCCCACCAGGUGUUAAGGUGCUCCCGGUGACUUACUCGCAGAUGAAGGUCCCCUGUGGGAUGGUCUGCAGGGCGCGGACCCCCCAGCCCAUCUUGGCUGUUCGGUAGAGCUGUAGCCGCACCCUGGGGGUAGGAGAGAUGGCACUGUUGGGUGGAGGCCCUGGAAAAGCCCCAGGGGCAGGGAGGAAAGGGUGAGGUGGGGAAAGGGUGGGCUGUGGAGCAGGGCCUCACUUGAUGCCACUCUGUACGACCCGGUUCUUGCAGUUUCUCCAGCAUGAGCACGCCUGGUUACACUCGAAAAUCAGCGGGGGCUCAAUCUUGUUAAAUUCCUGGAGCAAUCGCCCAUCCUAGGGUGCGGAGGGGAGGACAGUGGUUUCUCUGUGGGGGCCACCUCAGCUGCCCACCCAGGAACCCCAAGACUCUACAGAGACAGGGAAGUUGGGGUUGGGGAGGUCACACAGGCUCUGAGAUCCGAGAGCAGAAAAAGCAGGAGCAUCAUCCCUGGUUUGCAUAGACCUGGGCACACGCCCAUCGCUGUCCCAGCCACAUCCCAAGAUUCCCAGGCCUUGCCCAGUCCUCUCAGUCACUUCCCCCACAGGGUAGGAGGUGAGGGACAUGGUCCCAGGGAGCUGGCCUAUUGGAGGCUGGCUCCUCUGAAGGAGGGGCCGGGUGUCUGUGGCCAAGGCAAGGGGCACGCACCUUGUCAUACCAGCACCGGAUGCUGAGCUGGCCGCACAGGCAGUUGGAGCUAGAGCAGUCGUCCACACACGUGCAGUGCUGGGGCGAGGAGGCAGGGGUCAGCUCAACCCCAUGAUCGGUCUGGGCCCCUCUACUCUUGAUGCCCCCUGACCCCCUAACCACUAUCCUUUCUUUGGGGUCCAUGUGUUACAACAGUGGGUGGUGAUGGUCCUAGGGUGACGGGUAAUCAGUAUGGUGGUGUCCCCAGGGCUACUGGGAGCUCAUAUACCACCUUGCUGUGACCUAGGAAAAGGAUCCCUCCCCUGGUGGGGAUGCGACCCCACACCAGGGCUCCCUUUCAGCCAACCCUUCCUUGGCCAGGUGCCUUUGCUGGUUUGAAGCUUGUCCAACUGUACUUGGCAGCUCUCGGUGUCCUUUUGGGGAGGCCCCCUACUCACCUGCAGGUGAGUGAUGUUGCGAUCGAUGUUCAUGGUGGACGUCUCGCAGUUCUCCGAGAUGUACUUGUAAUCCUCAGGGCAGGGCUCCCCAUCCACACCGUUGACACAGGGAAUGGGCACGUUCUCAUAGCCCCGAGCCACGUCCCUGCAGAAGACGGGAAGAAGGGGCUGGGAAGCUGGAAAAGGGGGUGAGGAGCUACUCCAGGUAUAAGGAAGAGAGUUGGGGAGGUUCCUGGGGCUAGGGGCAGGGGAGUAAGGUUGCCAGGUAAGAUGCAGGACAGCCAGUUAACAUAGAAUUUUAGAUAAACAAGAAAUAGCUUUUUAGUAUGUCCCAAAAAUUACACAGGACAUUCUCACGCUAAAAAAGUAUGCAUCUGUGCAUCUGAAAUUCCAGUUUAACUGGGUGUCUUCUAUUUUUAUUUGCUGUAUCUGGCAACCCUAGUGGGGAGGGGGCCUGUGGGUGGUUCUGGGGAUUCAGUGGUGCAUGGGGAGGGGUUGGGGAAUGUUGUGAGGAUGCAAUGGAGCCUGGGGAGGGUAUGGGUGGGGAGGAGGUGGUCUUGGGUGCAGAGAGGGGCCCAGGGCUCACCGGCAGAUGAUCUUCUCUGUGCGGAUGGCCCGAUUUCCCACCCCAAGUCGGAGCUUGCGGUUGAGUUGAAGCGCAAACCACACGUCGGAGCGCUCGGGAGUCAGGUCCCAUGCUGUGUCCCCCUCUUUGUUCCGCAGCUCAGGGUUGGCCCCACGUGACAGGAAUAACCUGAAGAGGGGACAGGAUGCCCAAUGCGGGGUCUGAGGCUGCAAGAAGCGGGGGCAGGGGCAUCAAGGGCGGGGCAGGGGCUCACAGCACGCAGUCAUGGUAGCUCUCCCGAGCUGCGAUGUGCAGGGGGGUGUCCCCAUGGUAGUUGACAGCAUGGAGGUCACAGCGCGCAUUCAGAAGGACUUCGGCGAUGGCGGCGCUGCCCGUGAAGGAGGCCCAGUGCAGGCAGAUGUUCUCCUCCUGUGGAGGUAGGAGGGGAACAGAUGAGGUGCAGGCAGCUGGGCCCUUGAAUCCAGCCUCCACCUUGCUCAGGGGCCUGGGGCUGCCCUACCUCAACCAAACGCUCACUCACAUUGUCAGUGAGGGUGACGUCGGCGCCCCGCGUCAGUAGCAUGCGGAUCACCUCGAUGUGCUUGUGCUCUGCAGCCCAGAUGAUGGGCGUCCACCCCCCACUGUCCUGUGGGUGGGAAGGGAGUGAGGGUGGGGGCAGCUGGCCCUGCUCACCAAAGCAGCAAAUGGUCAAGAUUGGCUGUGUGUGUGAAUCCCAGCUCCACCAUUCACAAGCUGUGGGACCCUGGGUAAGUCACUUAACGUCUCUGGGUCACAGUUUCUUCAUCUAAAAAAUGGGACUAGUAGGGUCGGGCGCGGUGGCUCAUGCCUGUAAUCCCAGCACUCUGGGAGGCCGAGGCGGGCGGAUCACGAGGUCAGGAGAUGGAGACCAUUGUGGCCAACACGGUGAAACCCUGUCUCUACUAAAAAAUAGAAAAAAUUAGCUGGGCGUGGUGGCAGGCGCCUGUAGUCCCAGCUACUAGGGAGGCUGAGGCAGAAUGGCGUGAACCCGGGAGGCGGAGCUUGCAGUGAGCCAAGAUCGUGCCACUGCACUCCAGCCUGGGCGACAGAGCAAGACUCCAUCUCAAAAAACAAACAAACAAAAAUGGGACUAGUAGCGUCUACCAUCUGAUGCCAGAGAGAAAAUAAAGUAAUUGUUCUCUUUCCAAAAAAUACAGCCGGGAGCUGGUCGUGGAGGUGCACGCCUGUAGUCCCAGCUACUCAUGUGACUGAGAUGGGAGGGUUGCUUGAGCCCAGGAUUNNGAGGCUGCAGAGAGCUAUGACUGUCUGUGAACUGCUACUGUACUUCAGCCUGGGUGACAUAGCAAGACCCUGUCUCUUAAAAGAAAAAACGAACAAAAAUUUCCUAAGUCUGCCCACUCAAAAGUCCUAGAAGCAGCGACAACCCAAUAACAAUAAACACUCCUAG